AUUUUUCAUGAUGUUUUAUAACUUCGUAUUAUUUCCUAUGCUUUCUCCUAUUCAAAUAUAUAUAUUCCAAAUACAGAUGUACUUCAGAUUUCUCCUCCAGACUGUUCCUUUUUUUCUUUUUUUCUUCUUUAAGAACACUUAUUUUUAGCACUUAAUAGCCUUGUUAUCUAUAAUCAUCAUUAUGGCAUUGUCUGAUUUAAAUAUUUCUAUCAAUAUGGCAAGAUUUGUUUUAGAAGUAACUGAAUCACAGAGUAAUUUUAAAAUACAUAGCAUUCCAUUUUAGAAUUUUGUAACAAAACUGAUGAAUUCAGAUAUAAGGCUUAUGACUGAAUAGGCAACAUAUUUUCUUCAAAUGACUUUAUAAUGGAAAAAGAAGUUUAAGUCCAAAGAAGGGGAGCACAGUGAUACUUGAUCCCAUCUGAUACUGCCCAGACAUGAGAAGGGCUGGCCUUUGGAAUGAUGCACUGGGAAAGCAGUCUGGGCAGAGCACAAACAUGUGGGGAAAGAGUACAGAACAGGUUGUGCCUAUUUCUGCUGCUUUUUAUUGUUCUCAAGUAAAUGAAUAUUAACUGAAAAGAAGCAUUAUUACAUAUUUUGUGACAUUCUGGUUACAUGCUCUAAAGUCUCAUGAGGCCUGGUUUAAAUUCAAAUUAAUCCUAAGCUACACUUAAUUAGCAUUGCUGUAGUUGGUUUUGCUUUUCCUGUUGUAAGGGAAAAUGUGAUAUCUUACAGUUUUGCUGUUUUCAAAUGUUGAAAUAUAUGAUGGAGGUGAAGAAGUGAUUUGGUAGCUGAAUGACUCCCUGGCAGGAGAGAAUCUGACAGGAUGGCAUUUUACUAAUUAAGAAGAGUGCUGGACUAACCAGAUGGGAAAAAUACAUACUGAAACUUUUUUUCUUUCUUUCUUUCUUUUUUUUUUUUUUAAGACAAUGUAGAAAUAAACAAGGACAACAAAGGGCACGCAAAGAAGAACUGCAGAAGGGUCAGCCUCAGUCAGCAGGAUAAAGUUCGUGUCAGUGACAAUGGCAGAAGAAUUCAGGAAGCCAACAAUAAAUGGAAACAAUGUGAGAAGAGCAGGUGUGUUUUCACUCAGAGGAAGCAGCUACGGAUAUGAAAAUGACUUAGCAGCUGGUGAAUAAGAAGACUGAAGCUGUGCCAGACAAAGUGAGCGCGUGUGUGUGCUUUUAUUUUACCACUGAUUAUACAAAAAGGCCCAAACUCAUUGAUCAUGUAGUUCUACCCCUGCUUCACCAAGAAUAAAUAUUUAAGUGGCAUAACUAUUUCAGAAAGCCACUUAUUAAUAGUGAUACAUUUUCUGUGUUGUAACUGGAAAUACACAUUAAUCAUUCUUUUCUUCUUCUUUUCAGACCUUCUUCUCUCCAUUCCUGUUUACAUCACAGUGAGAACAACUAUCAUUUGCACGACGCUGGUCUGCAUUUUUGUUUGAUAUUUAGUUUUCUUAGCUUUACAGAUGAGGCUGUGUUCAAGUAAGUGCAGUGCCAGCACACAUAACCUACACAGGAUAUAACUUGAAGCUUUCUCUUCUUGAAGUUGAGAAAGAAUUACCAUAGAAAUUCAGCAUGAUGAUUUAUCUUUGGUGCACGAGGAUAUCAACAAAUUUUAGUUAAAACUUGAGAGGAAUGAUUAUUUGAUAACUGCUCAUACCUUUUGGUUUCACCUGGUGAUAGAAUUUCAGUGUGGUGGUACACUGUAAGAUUUACAGGAACCCUCACCUGAGCACCUUUGGCACACUCUGGGUAGUCAAGCUCAGAAUCACUAAAUUCUCAGAGGAUGAGAGUGAGCAAAGAAGAAAGGCAUGCUGUUGAAAUCACAAAGCUAUUUUUUCAUGUAUAAAACAAUUUAAAAUAAAACAGGAGGAGCUGGAACAACUACAUCAACAGGAGAAAGACUGAAGAGAUGAAUCACUUCAAAAUAUUUUUCAGUGUGCAGAGAAACAGAAAUAUUUCUUUUUGAAUAUCAAACAAUCAAGCAAUAUUGAAAGUACACCAACCCAAUGCAUUAGGGAAGUUAUAGGUACGUUUUCAGUUGCUACAUCAUCCUGCAAAAAUAACUAAAGUGGACUUGUA